GGAGAGGUGGCCGAGUGGCUUAAGGCAGCCGCCUGCUAAGCGGUUAGGGGUCUCAAAAGGCCCCUCCCGGGUUCGAAUCCCGGCCUCUCCGCCA
rnacentral:tRNA from 1 species